CGCCGUUCCAACCGCCAAGGGCCAAUGUGGGAAUGCAUGUUCUCCUGCACCAUUGAGAUGAUAUGAGGUGUCCAUGCAGCAGCAGCAACACCGGCAUCCUCCCUAAAGCCCCUCCGUCUCACUGACCUCAGGCUGACUGCACAGCUGGUUCCCAUGGGGAGAGGUCCCCCUCUGCAUGCUGUGUGAGCUCCCGGGGCUUGUUCCUGUUCAUUAGCUGAAUGCCAAUCCAUGUCCCCCAUUGGUCGAGAUCGAAGCGGAUCAAUGCAGAGGAGAGAUGAUGUAAUUUGUGUGAGGGAGAGAGAUAACGGUUGUAGCUGGAAGUGAGCCGGCUUUGCUUGCUCAUUGUGUCAUCUAUGUGGAUGUCGUGUAUGUCUGUGUGAGAGCACAGACAGACAGAGGAUGAGUGCUUUUGAACUGAAUCUGGAUUAAGGCCUCUGUGGGUGUUUAAUCUCAAAGGGCCCCAACCUGUAACCACACUGUUUGUUACAGGUAAUGCCUACUUUGUAGCCCUGCAUGGUCAAUGUUUCCCUGUGUCCAUGAUUACAUUUAAACCAAGUAAACCUCUUUGCUUAGCACUGAUGAACAGUUUCUUGCAGCAGGGAACAAAAAUCUUUGGGUAUGCCUGUGAGGAUUAGUCAUCCAGGUCAUUGUAUAUCCAUCUAGAAAAAUCUAUAAACUCAUCUGCUCCUUCAAAAAAAAAAAAAAAAACAGUGCAUUUUUCAUGGAAUAUAACCUUACUUAUUAGACACAUGCUGUUUGUUUGCCAUAUGAUUAAUAAACCAAUCAUAGUUUUUUUUCUUUCAAAUAUGUAGAUGAGAUUUGUUUUAGUUGGUGUUUACUGGGCUAAUGUUUGUAACCACACCUGUUGGACUGGAUUGUUGGACUCAUCAGCAGGAGCCCACAGGCAUGCUAGGCCCCUGAGCACCAGGAUCUUGUAAGCAAGUGUCUGUGCAAGUGUGCGCUUGUGAGUGUGCGUGUGUUUAGAUGUGUGUGUCAAUGCCUUGUU